UACGUAGGGUCCCAAGCGUUAAUCGGAAUUACUGGGCGUAAAGCGUGCGCAGGCGGUUGUGCAAGACCGAUGUGAAAUCCCCGAGCUUAACUUGGGAAUUGCAUUGGUGACUGCACGGCUAGAGUGUGUCAGAGGGGGGUAGAAUUCCACGUGUAGCAGUGAAAUGCGUAGAGAUGUGGAGGAAUACCGAUGGCGAAGGCAGCCCCCUGGGAUAACACUGACGCUCAUGCACGAAAGCGUGGGGAGCAAACAGGAUUAGAAACCCGUGUAGU
rnacentral:rRNA from 1 species